AGAGUUUGAUCAUGGCUCAGAACGAACGCUGGCGGCAUGCCUAACACAUGCAAGUCGAACGAACCCGUUCGGGGUUAGUGGCGCACGGGUGCGUAACACGUGGGAAUCUGCCCUUUGCUUCGGAAUAACAGUUAGAAAUGACUGCUAAUACCGGAUGAUGUCGUAAGACCAAAGAUUUAUCGGCAAAGGAUGAGCCCGCGUAGGAUUAGGUAGUUGGUGGGGUAAAGGCCUACCAAGCCGACGAUCCUUAGCUGGUCUGAGAGGAUGAUCAGCCACACUGGGACUGAGACACGGCCCAGACUCCUACGGGAGGCAGCAGUGGGGAAUAUUGGACAAUGGGCGAAAGCCUGAUCCAGCAAUGCCGCGUGAGUGAUGAAGGCCUUCGGGUUGUAAAGCUCUUUUACCAGGGAUGAUAAUGACAGUACCUGGAGAAUAAGCUCCGGCUAACUCCGUG
rnacentral:rRNA from 1 species